rnacentral:lncRNA from 1 species
GCUUAAUAUGAGACUAUAGUGCACGAUCAAAUGGCUCUGGUGCAAGACGAUCACGAUUGAACGGCCACGGAUAGUUCUAGCAUUGGUUGAGAUUCAGUAUUCUUAGUGUAACAGUAUUUUUGAGAUUCUGUAGUCUAUAUAGCUUUGAUUGAUGAGUUGUUUACUGCAUUGGAUAGCUGGUGACGUUCUGGAGCUACAGAAAGACUUCA